GGGUACCCUGGGGUCGCUCUCCCAGGCUUUGUCCGGGUGGUGACCAGAGCGCAGGGCUCUGCCUCCUGAUGUACAGUCCCUUUCCACAGUGUGAAGCCGGGCCCCAAGUCAGUGCCUGCAUAUUCCUACAGCUUCUCAGAGUCCCACGGACCGUGACUGAGGAGACAAACCAUGCAGGAAACAGUU
ensembl:snoRNA SNORA73 Small nucleolar RNA SNORA73 family